GACGAACGCUGGCGGCGUGCUUAACACAUGCAAGUCGAACGGAAAGGCCCCUUUGGGGGUACUCGAGUGGCGAACGGGUGAGUAACACGUGAGUAACCUGCCCUUGACUUCGGGAUAACUUCAGGAAACUGGGGCUAAUACCGGAUAGGAAUCCUUGCUGCAUGGUGGGGGUUGGAAAGCUUCGGCGGUUUUGGAUGGACUCGCGGCUUAUCAGCUUGUUGGUGGGGUAGUGGCUUACCAAGGCUUUGACGGGUAGCCGGCCUGAGAGGGCGACCGGCCACAAUUGGACCUGGAUAAGGCCCAGACCCCCACGGGAGGGAGGAGGGGGGGAAAUUGGCAAAGUGGCGGGAGGCCGAUGCAGGCACGCCGCGGGCGGGGUGACCGGCCUCGGGUUGGAAACCGGCUUCAGCAGGGGCGGAGCCUGGUGUGAAGGUAACUGCAGAAGAAGCACCGGCUAACUACGGG
rnacentral:rRNA from 1 species